rnacentral:siRNA from 1 species
UUUCAGACCAUUGUCCAUUAAAGA